UACGUAGGGUGCGAGCGUUGUCCGGAAUUAUUGGGCGUAAAGGGCUCGUAGGCGGUCUGUUGCGUCGGGAGUGAAAACUCAGGGCUUAACCCUGAGCCUGCUUCCGAUACGGGCAGACUAGAGGUAUGCAGGGGAGAACGGAAUUCCUGGUGUAGCGGUGAAAUGCGUAGAUAUCUGAAGGAACAUCAGUGGCGAAAGCGACUUCCUGGACCAAUACUGACGCUCAUGUGCGAAAGCGUGGGGAGCAAACAGG
rnacentral:rRNA from 1 species